rnacentral:rRNA from 1 species
AUUGAACGCUGGCGGCAGGCCUAACACAUGCAAGUCGAGCGAGCGGCGGACGGGUGAGUAAUGUAUGGGGAUCUGCCCGAUAGAGGGGGAUAACUACUGGAAACGGUAGCUAAUACCGCAUCCCAUCGGAUGUGCCCAGAUGGGAUUAGCUAGUAGGUGGGGUAACGGCUCACCUAGUCGACGAUCCCUAGCUGGUCUGAGAGGAUGACCAUCCACACGGGAACUGAGACACGGUCCAGACUCCUACGGGAGGCAGCAGUGGGGAAUAUUGCACAAUGGGAGCAAGCCUGAUGCAGCCAUGCCGCGUGUAUGAAGAAGGCCUUCGGGUUGUAAAGUACUUUCAGCGGGGAGGCGUUACCCGCAGAAGAAGCACCGGCUAACUCCGUGCCAGCCGCCGCGGUAAUAC